AGUGAACGCUGGCGGUAGGCCUAACACAUGCAAGUCGAACGGCAGCACAGUAAGAGCUUGCUCUUACGGGUGGCGAGUGGCGGACGGGUGAGGAAUACAUCGGCAUCUACUUUUUCGUGGGGGAUAACGUAGGGAAACUUACGCUAAUACCUCAUACGACCUACGGGUGAAAGCAGGGGAUCUUCGGACCUUGCGCGAUUGAAUGAGCCGAUGUCGGAUUAGCUAGUUGGCGGGGUAAAGGCCCACCAAGGCGACGAUCCGUAGCUGGUCUGAGAGGAUGAUCAGCCACACUGGAACUGAGACACGGUCCAGACUCCUACGGGAGGCAGCAGUGGGGAAUAUUGGACAAUGGGCGAAAGCCUGAUCCAGCCAUACCGCGUGGGUGAAGAAGGCCUUCGGGUUGCAAAGCCCUUUUGUUGGGAAAGAAAAGCAGCAGGUUAAUACCCCGCUGUUCUGACGGUACCCAAAGAAUAAGCACCGGCUAACUUCGUG
rnacentral:rRNA from 1 species